rnacentral:rRNA from 1 species
GUAUUGGACUACCAUGGCGUAUUACGGGUAACGGAGAAUUAGGGUUCGAUUCCGGAGAGGGAGCCUGAGAAACGGCUACCACAUCUACGGAUGGCAGCAGGCGCGAAAAUUAGCCCAAUCCCGAUUCGGGGAGGCAGUGACAAGAAAUAACAACCCAGAACAUUGUUUCCGGGAUUGCAAUGAGAACAAUUUAAAAACCUUAUCGAGUACCAACUGAGGGCAAGUUCUGGUGCCAGCAGCCGCGGUAAUUCCAGCUCCAGUAGCGUAUAUUAAAGUUGCUGCAGUUAAAAAGCUCGUAGUUGAAUUUCUGUUUGUAAGAGUCGAAGCUUUACAGCUAAGAUUUCUUCGAACAUCUGUUUGCAAGCAUACGUUCGGCCUUCACUGGUUGGCUAUGUAAGCAAGUGUUUUACCUUGAGAAAAUUAGAGUGUUCCAGGCAGGCUUCAGCCGGAAUACAUUAGCAUGGAAUAAUGGAAUAGGACUGGGGACUAUUUAUUGGUUUGAGGCUCCAGUAAUGAUUAAUAGGAACAGUCGGGGGC